rnacentral:rRNA from 1 species
UACGAAGGGGGCUAGCGUUGCUCGGAAUCACUGGGCGUAAAGCGCACGUAGGCGGACUCUUAAGUCGGUGGUGAAAUCCUGGAGCUCAACUCCAGAACUGCCUUCGAUACUGGGAGUCUCGAGUCCGAGAGAGGUGAGUGGAACUGCGAGUGUAGAGGUGAAAUUCGUAGAUAUUCGCAAGAACACCAGUGGCGAAGGCGGCUCACUGGCUCGGUACUGACGCUGAGGUGCGAAAGCGUGGGGGAGCAAACAGG